GAUGAACGCUGGCGGCGUGCCUAAUACAUGCCAGUCGAGCGAACAGACGAGGAGCUUGCUCCUUUGACGUUAGCAGCGGACGGGUGAGUAACACGUGGGUAACCUACCUAUAAGACUGGGAUAACUUCGGGAAACCGGAGCUAAUACCGGAUAAUAUUUCGAACCGCAUGGUUCGAUAGUGAAAGAUGGCUCUGCUAUCACUUAUAGAUGGACCUGCGCCGUAUUAGCUAAUUGGUAAGGUAACGGCUUACCAAGGCAACGAUACGUAGCCGACCUGAGAGGGUGAUCGGCCACACUGGAACUGAGACACGGUCCAGACUCCUACGGGAGGCAGCAGUAGGGAAUCUUCCGCAAUGGGCGAAAGCCUGACGGAGCAACGCCGCGUGAGUGAUGAAGGUCUUCGGAUCGUAAAACUCUGUUAUUAGGGAAGAACAAACGUGUAAGUAACUGUGCACGUCUUGACGGUACCUAAUCAGAAAGCCACGGCUAACUACGUG
rnacentral:rRNA from 1 species